UGGGGAAUAUUGGACAAUGGGCGAAAGCCUGAUCCAGCCAUGCCGCGUGUGUGAAGAAGGCCUUCGGGUUGUAAAGCACUUUAAGCGGGGAGGAAGUACUUGGGGCUAAUACCCCUGAGUGUUGACGUUACCCGCAGAAUAAGCACCGGCUAACUCUGUGCCAGCAGCCGCGGUAAUACAGAGGGUGCAAGCGUUAAUCGGAAUUACUGGGCGUAAAGCGCGCGUAGGCGGUUUGUUAAGUCGGAUGUGAAAUCCCCGGGCUCAACCUGGGCACUGCAUCCGAUACUGGCUGACUAGAGUGUGGGAGAGGAAGGUAGAAUUCCAGGUGUAGCGGUGAAAUGCGUAGAGAUCUGGAGGAAUACCGAUGGCGAAGGCAGCCUUCUGGCCUAACACUGACGCU
rnacentral:rRNA from 1 species